rnacentral:lncRNA from 1 species
AUGUUCAUCUCUGUAUCUGUUUGGGAUGGACAGAUGUUGCAGGACAUGGAUCAGCGGCUGCAGGAGGAAGGGUUGGACUCCUCGGCCUCCAGCGAUGAGCGUCUGUCUCUGCUGUGGCAGCUUUACAGGAGCAGCGAAAGUACCGUGAGAUCCCUCAAACAGCAGAUACAAGAUCUGCAGAAAGAACGUGUUGCUGAGAUUGAAAAUGUUCAGCAAUAUGUUAAUCAAAUUAAGAGUCUCACAAAGACCCGAGAUUCUGUGGCUUUACAUCUUGAGCAUGAAAACAAAACGCUCCAUGCUACUCUGGAUGACAUCUACCGACAACAAGAAGCACAGAGGAGUGAGAUCUCUGAGAUGCUACUUCAGGAAGGUCUGGCUGAUAUUAUUCCCAUCAGCCUGAGUGAACAGGUGGCGUACCUCCUCGCAGACAGAGCCUCCCUGCUGGAGAAAACACAAAGCCAGGAGAAUGUGGACGGGAAGACCGCACAGGAGCCUGAUGUCCGUAAGGAGCAAACGUCAAAGGAGUGUAGAGAGAAUGUGGUCAAAAAGGUGGCACCACCAGACAUUCAGAGCCCUUGGAAGAGGCUUCUAGGACUCAGAAAGGCUGCUCAGAGUGAACAGAAAUUACUGCCUCAGACGGUUGACCUGCAGUUCAGCAGGGAUGACACACUGAAGGGACGAACAUUGCAGGAACUGGAGCGAGAUGUAGAAGAGGCCUCUGCUCGACUCGCCAUGGCCCACAAGGAGAUCCGCAGACUCACGGAUGAGCUGGAGUCUGCUCACCUGACCCAAAAGGCUUAUGAACCAGAGCUGCAAGAAGCUCAAAUGGAAGUCGAGCACCUCCGUCAUGAAGUGGAGAAACUGAAACGCUGUGAAGUUGUUGAAUUGAGAAAAACGAAAGAGAUAAAUGAGAAACAGGAAGAAGAGCUGUGUCACCUUAGAGAGACGGUGAAGAGGCUACAGGCGGAGCAUGUGCAUUUGCUUGAAAUGACUGAAGGCCCUGACAGCACUGUCACUCCAUCCAAAGACAAGAAGCCACAGGAAGAGGAUAUCCAUCAAGGGUGUCUUGACAAGAUGCAGGAGAGGUUACACAUGCUGCGAGAUCUGACGCAGGUCACGCUGAAGCUGCGGAUGGAGUUCGAGAUGGAGGCCGACCUGCGAAGGAGGGCAGUGGAUGAAUGUGAAGAGCAGAAGAGGAAGAGGACGGAGGCAGAGCAGUUGGUGAGAGACUUCCAGAACCUCUGUGAGAAGCAGGCGGAUGAUUACAGGACCACCGUCAGCAGCCUUCAGGUGGAGAUGAGAGAUUUAGUAACUAAGGUACGAGAGCUUGAGACACAGGAUGUGGAAAGACAAUGUGACAAACACCUGAAGCAGGUGUUGUCUCUGGAGGAUAACGUUUGCCAGCUGAAGCUUGCCCUUCAAGAGGAGCAGCAGAAGACUAGGCAGCUGUCUAUGACCAUGCAGAGGGAAAUCGACCAGGCCAAGGCUUUGGUCCAGUCACAGGACGUCCAGCUUCAGCAGGAUGCAGAAGAGCAGAGGAGGAUGUUUGAGGAGCUGCAGGGCAUCCAGAACAUCCUCAGCACCACCAAACAAGAGCUGCUGUCCCAGAGGAGGAACUACACACAGCUGCAAAACAGCAUCAGUGACGCCGAGCAGGAGAACCUCAGGCUCCAACAAAACACUGAAGACUUGAGGAACAGACUAAGCAGCAGUCAACAGGAGACUGCCUCUCUGACGACAGAACUUCAGCUAGCUCUAGUUAGAUUGGACACCGAGAAAAGUAAAUACAACGACAAGCGGAUCCACUACAAAAACAAGCUGAGCCGAGCCAGAGGGGUUUACCUGAGAGAGACGGGGUGGCGUGACGAAAAAAUAAAAGACCUGGACAAAGAGAUUUUUAUUCUGAGGAAACAGGAGGAAAAGACGGCACACAUGAUGAAGACGGUCACAUCUGAAAAUGAGAGUCUGCUUCAGAAGAACAGACAGCUUCUUUUACAGCUGCAUGACUUUGAAGAGGCACAGAAAAAUGCUUCGGAUGCGAUUUCCACCAUGCAGAUGAGGAUGAAUUUGCUUGAAACAGAAAAUGUUCAGCUAAAGCAGACAACAGCACAAAUGUCGGAGCACAUCGAAUGUCUGACGAUACUGGCCGAGACGAACUGUGAUCAGGAAGUCACUGCCGAGAGUCGUGUCAUAGAGGGCGAAGACCAAACUACUCCUCCUACAUAA